CACACACACACACACACACACAUACAUACAUACAUACAUACAUAUUUGUCUCUUUAAAUUCGUUUCUGACAUUCGCAAGGAUGAAAAUAAUAAUCUAUCUUCUUGUAUCGUAACCAACAGUAUUGUGUCAUUUUACCAUCAGAGGCCAUCGUACCAAACUGUAAAAAAUAAAUAAUAAUAAUAAAAAAUAAAUAAAUAAAUAAAUAAAUAAAUAAACAUAGCAGUGGUCACGAACGUGGCAACACCUGUUCGCCUGGCAAUGUCUACACAGAUGUGUUGUGGUGUGGCACUCCGCCCCAACACCGCUCUACACCUGCUGCAGGUGACACGACGACGGAACCAGACACACACCACUCCUCAACCAGUCCUGUCGUCGCCUUCAGCCUCAUCUCGGGGCGCCAGUGUGAGGCUGCCUACGCUGCAGGGUUCUCAGUAUAUAAGACGAGAGGAAGGCAUGAUGGGAGCGGUACAGCAGUUCUUCCUGUACCUGGUGUUCCCGGUGUGGUGCUUCACUUCCUUCUUCAUCCUCUUCUCCCUGCAUGACGAAUCAUCUCCGAACCCCUACAACAUAAACUUGCGGUCCCGCUCACAGCUGGAUCAGGGAAGAAACAGAACUCAGGGCCAGGUUCAGCCAUUCGACUUUUCACGAGUAAAUAGGCAUCCGGUGUUUAUAGGUGAUACAGAAAAAUAUUGACUGACAACAAUCUCCGGGUGAUAGUUUGAUUUGCACCCUAGAGGUGGUCGUUCUCGGCGAAAUAGUUUUAUUACAAAUUUGUUGGAAACGCCAAAGGCUGUUUCAGACUGUCAGUGGCCGGUGAGUGACACUUGACUCGAGGAAGAGAAAAGCAAAAGUAUAAACCCUCCCACUCCCUGAAUGGAAAAUGGGUGGCGAAGGAAAGUCAAACGCAGAAAGAUGUGCAGACAACAGAAAAAAGAAGUGUAUAGCAGAAACAAAUAAGAAAUAAUGAAGAAAGUGUAGAACCAUGAGAAGAAAAAUAUCAGAAAACUAAAUACAGCCUCGGGACAGCUCUUUUACUAUUUGCUGCAUCACAAAAACGGUGUCCCGACCUGGAAAAAGUUGAGACAAGAAAGCCGAGUGGUCAGCGUGCGGGCAUGGUGAGCCCGUGGACCAAAACACGCUGAUUUUUCAAGCCAUAGCCGAGUGGAGGAAGAUUACCCACAUGCUGCUCAGAUAUUCUAUCAACCCUAACUUCAGCGACUUCGUUCAAGAGGAGCACCGGGGGUCAGCAUGGGCCAAGUAAGAGUCCUAUAUCUCGGCAACUAGAGAAAGUGCUGAAGCGGGCUUGCAGACAGAUUCUGGGCAGUUCUUACACCAACUACGAGAAUGCACUCACCCAGCUGAAUCUGCCCACCCUUCAGGACCGAUACCACAUGAACCUAACCAAAUUCGGCAAAUUCCUCCUCCGCAACCCCCGCCAUAGAGAGCUACUCCUACCCGCCCUCCUUCCCCCCACAAGACCCACAAGACACCACAAUACUCUAGUCCCGGUCAGAGCUCGCACGGACAGAUACCGGCUUAGCCACAAUACCGGCACUUGUAAAGGCCAUAAAUAUCUCCAUGAUCACAUGACCCCUCCACCACAACACACACACACACACACACACACACACACACACACACACACACACACACACACACACACCACCCUUCCCUACUUCCCCCAUUACUCAUCACAUAAAUAUCAUUAUAUUUUGUGUAUUUUCAGCCUUAUGGCUGCCAACAAAUGAAUAAACCAUUCAUUAUUAUUAUUAUUAGUAGUAGUAGUAGUAGUAUUAGUAUUAUUAGUAUUAAUUAAUCAAAAUUUGCCUGCUCCACUAACAGGCUGGGGCCGUCCAAGAGGCCCCUCAAGAAAGCCUACCGGAGCUACAGGCAGCACCUAAGAAAAAAAAAUGGGGGUCCAGAAUAGCAAAAAAAAAAAAAAAAAAAAAGGAAAACGGAC